UACGAAGGGGGCUAGCGUUGCUCGGAAUCACUGGGCGUAAAGCGCACGUAGGCGGACUCUUAAGUCGGUGGUGAAAUCCUGGAGCUCAACUCCAGAACUGCCUUCGAUACUGGGAGUCUCGAGUCCGGGAGAGGUGAGUGGAACUCCGAGUGUAGAGGUGAAAUUCGUAGAUAUUCGGAAGAACACCAGUGGCGAAGGCGGCUCACUGGUCCGGUACUGACGCUGAGGUGCGAAAGCGUGGGGAGCAAACAGG
rnacentral:rRNA from 1 species